GCUGACAGAAUGCUUAACACAUGCAAGUCGACUGGAAUUCUUCUUCGGAAGAUAGUACGGUGGCGGACGGGUGAGUAACGCGUAAAGAAUUUGCCCUUCAGACUGGGACAACUAAUCGAAAGGUUAGCUAAUACCGGAUAUUAUGAGACCUCGGCAUCGAGGACUCAUGAAAGCUAUAUGCGCUGGAGGAGAACUUUGCGUUCCAUUAGCUAGUUGGUAGGGUAAUGGCCUACCAAGGCGACGAUGGAUAGCCGGCCUGAGAGGGUGAACGGCCACAAGGGGACUGAGACACGGCCCUUACUCCUACGGGAGGCAGCAGUGGGGAAUAUUGGACAAUGGACCAAAAGUCUGAUCCAGCAAUUCUGUGUGCACGAUGAAGGUCUUCGGAUUGUAAAGUGCUUUCAGGUGGGAAGAAGAAAGUGACGGUACCACCAGAAGAAGCGACGGCUAAAUACGUGCCAGCAGCCGCGGUAAUACGUAUGUCGCAAGCGUUAUCCGGAAUUAUUGGGCGUAAAGCGAGUCUAGGCGGCUUGUUAAGUCAGAUGUGAAAAUGCGGGGCUCAACUCCGUAUUGCGUUUGAAACUGGCAGGCUAGAGUACUGGAGAGGUGGGCGGAACUACAAGUGUAGAGGUGAAAUUCGUAGAUAUUUGUAGGAAUGCCGAUAGUGAAGGCAGCUCACUGGACAGAUACUGACGCUAAAGCUCGAAAGCGUGGGGAGCGAACAGGAUUAGAUACCCUGGUAGUCCACGCCGUAAACGAUGUUCACUGGGUGUAGGGGGUCGAACCUCUGUGCCGAAGCUAACGCGAUAAGUGAACCGCCUGGGGAGUACGCACGCAAGUGUGAAACUCAAAGGAAUAGACGGGGACCCACACAAGCGGUGGAGCAUGUGGUUUAAUUCGACACUAAACGGGGAACCUUACCAGGGCUUGACAUCUCCGGAAUUCUGCGGAAACGCGGAAGUGCCGUAAGGAACCGGAUGACAGGUGCUGCAUGGUCGUCGUCAGCUCGUGCCUUGAGGUGUUCGGUUAAGUCCGUAAACGAGCGCAACCCAUGUCCUGUGUUGCAUUUUUCACAGGAGACUGCCGGCUUCAAGUCGGAGGAAGGUAUGGAUGACGUCAGAUCAGCAUGGCCCUUAUGCCUUGGGCCACACACGUGCUACAAUGGUCGGUACAAUGGGCAGCUAACCCGUAAGGGGGAGCAAAUCCCACCAAAGCCGGUCUAAGUUCGGAUUGAGGGCUGCAAUUCGCCCUCAUGAAGUUGGAAUCGCUAGUAACCGCGAAUCAGACAUGUCGCGGUGAAUAUGUUCCUGGGUCUUGUACUCACCGCCCGUCAUAUCAUGAAAGGUGGGGGUAUCCGAAGUCGCCUUAGUCUCUCGGGACGGGCGCCUAAGGUAAACUCACUGAUUGGGAUAAAGUCGAAACAAGGUA
rnacentral:rRNA from 1 species